GGGCCCGCACAAGCGGUGGAGCAUGUGGUUUAAUUCGAUGCAACGCGAAGAACCUUACCAGGGCUUGACAUACUACGAAUUCUUUUGAAAAAGAGAAGUGCCUUCGGGAAUGUAGAUACAGGUGGUGCAUGGCUGUCGUCAGCUCGUGUCGUGAGAUGUUGGGUUAAGUCCCGCAACGAGCGCAACCCUUAUUUUUAGUUACCAACUCGUUGGGUUCUCUAGAAAGACUGCCGGUGACAAACCGGAGGAAGGUGAGGAUGACGUCAAGUCAGCAUGCCCCUUAUGUCCUGGGCUACACACGUGCUACAAUGGUUAAGACAAAGAGUCGCGAGCUUGUAAAAGUCAGCUAAUCUCAUAAACUUAGCCUAAGUUCAGAUUGUAGGCUGCAACUCGCCUGCAUGAAGUUGGAAUC
rnacentral:rRNA from 1 species